CACCUUCAGGACCAAGAGGAUGCUGUCAAGAGUGGAAUCUAAGAUCGUAGAGAUGGAUCAGUUCUAGGUGAUCAGCAGAAGGAGAGAGACCCGCCGCAGACCCCAAAGCUCAGAAAAUAUCUAGCCUUAGAGGACAAC
rnacentral:lncRNA from 1 species